rnacentral:hammerhead_ribozyme from 1 species
AUGUGGCUGACGAGUCCCAAACAGGACGAAAUGUGCAUCCUGGAU